CUGGCAUUGCGGCUGGGAUAGAUGUUUUCUCUGCAUUCUUCUUCCAGAACCUGGGAGGUGAGGAUGCGUGAAGCCAUUUAGGGCAGUAGAACACGUGACACAACGGAGGUGUUCCAAGCAUGUAUGUACUAGCGUCUGAGACACAAUUUAUCAGCUUCCCUGGUUCUCCACAGCCAGCCUGAGUAGGCAUCUGAGGCCCAGGCUUCCCGGGUCAAGGGCAGACUCUUUGCUGGGGAAGACACUGAACCCCCACCACAACAUAUUGUGUCUCAAAAGAGCUCAAUCUGAAUUAUAACAGCAGUCCCAGAAGAGAGCUUGCCUAAUGGCCUUACGUAUUUUCUUUCCUUUUUUAAACAACAAAUAGCGCACCGACAGUUGAUUUUGCGCUAGAAACUUGGUGUACACAAAGUUUAGAUUGAGUACAGCCAACAUUAUGCCAGGGCAGUUGCGAAGUUCCCACAGUAAGAAUUAGAUAGGGUCUCUCAGCACUGUGCGCUUCAGAGGCGAGAAAAAAGAGCUGACAUUGAAGCUGAUGGUGUUACUGAGUAAUGUCUCUGUCCGCAUAACGGCUUUAGCGCUCUCAUUUCCAAAUGUCGACUACGCUUUUUUUUUUUUUUUUCCGCUUUUCGAUUUUUUUUUUUUAAUUCAAUCUUUUUAAAAUGUAUAUUGACAUGGGUUAAAAAGCCUCGCUUCUGCUAUUCGGCUAGCACUUUCUGGAAAAGCCUCCAUUUCUUCCUUGACCCCGUUUCUUACGAGUAGUAGGGCAUUACUAUGUGUGUUUUGAAGGUUACAGCUGGCAUACAUACACCUGUUGUUCUUCCCAGCCAGGUGAUGGGCGAGGCUAAAGGAGAGUCCUGGACGAAGAAGUGGGCGGCCGGGUAGAGUCAGGUAGGUAGCACAUGGUCAAGCGACUGUGCGCAGGUGCAGCGUGGCCCCACCCACAUUAGGGGCUAGUGCGUCAGCCGCGCGCGACGGGAAGUUGACGCACUGACGUCGUACAGGGAGAUGUCCAGGAAGCCGGCUACCCCUCUACGUCUCUGGCAGCUUGGCCGCAAUUCUGCACACUUCUGUCCUCGCUGCAGGCCCCACCGUCCAGCCCAGACUCGAGCAAGCGAGCACCGAGAGGCCGAGCGCACCUCCCCUCUGGGUCCGUGGCGCAGUGUUGAUAUCAGAAGAAGGAAUUGAAGGAGACCUCAGACAACCCCCAAGAGCAAUAAGCAAGAUAUACCAGGUGCAUGAGGCUGAGAUGUGUCUCUGAGAAUAAACUAAGUGGAGACCCAGCGCCAUGUCUCUGCUGUCUCAGCGUCAUUCACUUUCUAAGAAAAGGGGAAAAAGCACUACAGAUUCCUUCCUGAGCCUAAUCCCAUCACCAGUGCCUCGUCUGAGAACUUCAGCCUAUCAUCUGCUCAUGAUUUCUCAUCCUUGGCUCUAAUUAAAUGAAUCUUAAUUUUCUUUCUACCUAAUAGCAUACACAUUAUUUUUUCUGGCACCCUGGGCUUAAAUCUUGGAGAAGGAAAAUGUUAAUCUUCACCAGACAGAUAAAGGAAAAUAAAGGAAGGAGAAGAAGACAUAAUCUUUUGUUAGUUUACAUAUUUCUACACAAUACUCCUAGACCAUCAGGAGACUCAGACAUCUGUGCUCCCAGAAGAAAUAGGUAGAAGCUGUCAACUAUGCAUGAUUUUCACCAUACUGGGGCAGAGGAUGAAGAAAGAUCUAGCUCUGUGGAUAUAUCAGAUUUACAAUUGGCACGCAAAUAAUUCAUCUAUGAAUAGGUGUUAGGUAUAUGAUGGGAUUAAUAAACAAAGAAGGUGGGAGAUCAAAAUAAAUACUUGACUCAGAAAUAUAAAAGGAAGCAAAAUGCCAUUUAUGAAACUUGUUAGCUAUCAAUCUUGAAUUCCAUCUUGUAUUACAGCUAUAUCUAAACCACUCUGAACUGCUAGCUGAGCAGCAGCAGUACCUAGGAUUAACUUCCUCAGCAUGGCCAUAGAAGCCCACACUCUAGCACUCUUGUCUUGGAGAGGUAAAUUUUGCUCCUUUCUUAUCUUGAGCAGUCUGUGUUUAUCAACAUUAUCUAAUUAAAUAACUGUCAUAAUAUUGACAAUAGAAUUAUUGCAUGGAGUAUGUGUGAGGUAAGCUUACGCCAGCCUGUACAUUUUCUUACUUAGUUUACAAAUAAUAAUAAAGCCACAUGUAACUAUUAACAUACCUCUUAAAUUCCUUGAGGCCAAGGACUGUGUUGUGACUUUUUCACAGACACAUCUUCAACAACUAAAGACCUUAGAAGAGGUAAUGACUGUUGAAUAACUUAGAGAAUACUGAGUCUUCUAAACUGCCUCCACUGCUUGAUACUCUGGGAGGGGGGUAGCUAAAGUAUUAUUUAAAAUACUCAUUUCUUGAAACAUUCAUCAUGUUUUCUAUACUGAUCUUAGCAUGGGAGUCAAUUAGGGAGUUUUUUUUUUCUCCUAAUACAGUUUCUGUCCUAUUGAUUCAGUAGGAAAUCUGCAUAUAACAAGUGCCCCAAUGACUGUAAUGUUCCAGUGAGUUUAGGAAAUGUUGCUUUAUCAAGCUGGCUCUCUGUAACCAAACCAAGUGGAGGACUCUGAAGGAAAGAGAAAAAGCCCAAGCCAGAAGGGCUGCUCAAAUAUGAGAGAUCUGGUUAAAUCUUGACAACAGAGCAGAAACCAAUAGACAGUAGAAAUCUACCUGUCCACGAGAAGCAGUGAUGAAUUAUAAAUCACUAUUGACCUGGACCACCUUGCCAAUUCCUGUACAUGGUUAUGCUGAAGGUCUGUGCAUUUCUGAUCCCACUAAUUUGAUUCUCAUCAUUUCCACCCUAAUUUGCCCAUUAAUACUUAUAUCAU